rnacentral:ncRNA from 1 species
UAUUAAGUGGUGAUUAGCAGUUAGUAGUUUGUACACAUUUUAAAUAGAGAGUUUAUAUGUGGUGAAAAUAAGCAAAAGUGUAUAAAUGAAUUACAAUGUUAUGAACUUAAUCGGGUAACUCCGUUAAAAGAAUAAGUGCUUGUGUUAACAAGAAAUAAGGUGGUACCACGGAUAAUGUUUUCGUCCUUUUA